GACAGAGGCCUCAAGCGUUAGGCGGAAUCACUGGGCUUAAAGCGUGUGUAGGCGGAUCGUUAAGUGUCUUGUGAAAUCCCACGGCUCACCCGUGGAACUGCUGGGCAUACUGGCGAUCUUGGGCCAACUAGGGGCAACUGGAACAAGCGGUGGAGCGGUGAAAUGCGUAGAUAUUGGGAGGAACACCAGUGGCGAAGGCGGCUCACUGGACCGGUACUGACGCUGAUGCGCGAAAGCGUGGGGAGCAAACGGG
rnacentral:rRNA from 1 species